CGAGGUCACAUGGAGUAACCGUUUCGGUGAAAGACGACCUUCGCAAAAGGAGAUAUGCUUCCCUUGGUGAAAGCCCAUAAAACUGCCCAUCGACGACUUUUACACGGACGCUGCUUGCAUGGCGGGGGAUUGCGCUGACCUCGUUUCAUGUGUAAGGUCAAUGUAGUUUGGACGCGCACCUACAACUUAACUAUGCGGAGGGCGAAUAAUUUUUAUGACAAGC
rnacentral:sRNA from 12 species